GGGUCCCUGGUGGAAUGGCAGACACGCACCGCUCAAAAUGGUGUGCCGAAAGGCGUGAGGGUUCGAAUCCCUCGGGACCCACCA
rnacentral:tRNA from 1 species